rnacentral:rRNA from 1 species
CAGCAGCCGCGGUAAUACAGAGGCCUCAAGCGUUGUUCGGAUUCAUUGGGCGUAAAGGGUGCGUAGGCGGUUUGGCAAGUUUGGUGUGAAAUCUUCGGGCUCAACUCGAAGUCUGCAUCGAAAACUGCCGGGCUUGAGUAUGGGAGAGGUGAGUGGAAUUUCCGGUGUAGCGGUGAAAUGCGUAGAUAUCGGAAGGAACACCUGUGGCGAAAGCGGCUCACUGGACCAUAACUGACGCUGAUGCACGAAAGCUAGGGGAGCAAACAGGAUUAGAUACCCCUGUAGUCCCUGUCUCUUAUAA